rnacentral:rRNA from 1 species
GACGAACGCUGGCGGCGUGCUUAACACAUGCAAGUCACGGGGGCUUCGCAAGGAGCAACCGGCGAACGGGUGCGUAACACGUGAGCAACCUACCACCGUGCGGGGGAUAGCCGGGCUAACGCCCGGGUAAUACCGCAUACGCUCUGUCGGGGGAGUCCCUGGGAGAGGAAACCUCCGGGGCACGGUGAGGGGCUCGCGGCCUAUCAGCUUGUUGGUGGGGUCAUGGCCUACCAAGGCGACGACGGGUAGCUGGUCUGAGAGGAUGGCCAGCCACAUU